rnacentral:rRNA from 1 species
UACGGAGGGGGCUAGCGUUGUUCGGAAUUACUGGGCGUAAAGCGCACGUAGGCGGCUUCGUAAGUUAGAGGUGAAAGCCCGGAGCUCAACUCCGGAAUUGCCUUUAAGACUGCAUCGCUCGAAUCAUGGAGAGGUGAGUGGAAUUCCGAGUGUAGAGGUGAAAUUCGUAGAUAUUCGGAAGAACACCAGUGGCGAAGGCGACUCACUGGACAUGUAUUGACGCUGAGGUGCGAAAGCGUGGGGAGCAAACAGG